rnacentral:rRNA from 1 species
CCUACGUGGAGCAGCAGUGGGGAAUAUUGCGCAAUGGGCGAAAGCCUGACGCAGCGACGCCGCGUGAGGGAUGAAGGUCUUCGGAUCGUAAACCUCUGUCAGCAGGGAAGAACGGUCACUGUGCCAAUCAGCAGUGAAUUGACGGUACCUGCAAAGGAAGCACCGGCUAACUCCGUGCCAGCAGCCGCGGUAAUACGGAGGGUGCGCGCGUUAAUCGGAAUUACUGGGCGUAAAGCGCUCGUAGGCGGUAUGUCAAGUCAAGGGUGAAAUCCCCGCGCUCAACGUGGGAACUGCCUUUGAAACUGGCAAACUGGAGUGUGUGAGAGGAUAGUGGAAUUCCAGGUGUAGGAGUGAAAUCCGUAGAUAUCUGGAGGAACAUCAGUGGCGAAGGCGACUAUCUGGCACAUAACUGACGCUGAGGAGCGAAAGCGUGGGUAGCAAACAGGAUUAGAUACCCGGGUAGUC